GCCUGGGUGGCUCAGUCGGUUAAGCAUCUGACUUCAGCUCAGGUCACAAUCUCGUGGUUUGUGAGUUCAAGUUCUGCCUCGGGCU
rnacentral:tRNA from 1 species